UUGCUUUGGCAGCACAAAUACUGAAAUUGGAAUGAUACAGAGAGGGUUAGCAGGCCCCUGCGCAAGGAUGACACGCAAACCCGUGAGGCAUCCCAUAUUUUU
ensembl:snRNA U6 U6 spliceosomal RNA